rnacentral:snoRNA from 1 species
CCACUAGAUGAGGAUGAACUCGUCUCUUUCCUGCUGGUGGGGCUGGACCUCGACUACAACCCUUUGGUCUCGACCCUAGAUGCCCGCACCGAGCCGGUCACCGUCGAUGCAGUCUAUUCCCAAGUGUGCAACUUCGAUC